rnacentral:rRNA from 1 species
GACGAACGCUGGCGGCGUGCUUAACACAUGCAAGUCGAACGGAAAGGCCCUGCUUUUGUGGGGUGCUCGAGUGGCGAACGGGUGAGUAACACGUGAGUAACCUGCCCUUGACUUUGGGAUAACUUCAGGAAACUGGGGCUAAUACCGGAUAGGAGCUCCUGCUGCAUGGUGGGGGUUGGAAAGUUUCGGCGGUUGGGGAUGGACUCGCGGCUUAUCAGCUUGUUGGUGGGGUAGUGGCUUACCAAGGCUUUGACGGGUAGCCGGCCUGAGAGGGUGACCGGCCACAUUGGGAAUGAGAUACGGCCCAGACUCCUACGGGAGGCAGCAGUGGGGAAUAUUGCACAAUGGGCGGAAGCCUGAUGCAGCAACGCCGCGUGCGGGAUGACGGCCUUCGGGUUGUAAACCGCUUUCGCCUGUGACGAAGCGUGAGUGACGGUAAUGGGUAUAGAAGCACCGGCUAACUACGUG